rnacentral:tRNA from 1 species
UUAUGAAUCAAGGUGGCCAUAGGCCCCUAUGGUCC